UUGGUGUAUUGCAUAGUUUUAGAGAGUGGAUUUCAUUCAAAACUCUCCAAACGACUCCUCCCACCACAUUAUGAUGUUGACGAAGUUUUGGACUCCAUCCAAUGUCGAUUGGCCAAUGAAAUUGGACACUUCAAGUUCGUACGAAGUGUGUUUGGUAAAUGAAGUGGUUGGUGUAUUGCUAGUUUUAGCAAUUGAAUUUCAC
rnacentral:lncRNA from 1 species